rnacentral:rRNA from 1 species
AUUGAACGCUGGCGGCAUGCUUUACACAUGCAAGUCGAACGGUAACAGGCCUUCGGGCGCUGACGAGUGGCGAACGGGUGAGUAAUGCAUCGGAACGUGCCCAGUCGUGGGGGAUAACGCAGCGAACGCUGUGCUAAUACCGCAUACGAUCUGCGGAUGAAAGCGGGGGACCUUCGGGCCUCGCGAGAUCGGAGCGGCCGAUGUCGGAUUAGGUAGGUGGUGGGGUAAAGGGUCACCAAGCCAACUAUCUGUAGCUGGUCUGAGAGGACGACCAGCCACACUGGGACUGAGACACGGCCCAGACUCCUACGGGAGGCAGCAGUGUGGAAUUUUGGACAAUGGGCGCAAGCCUGAUCCAGCAAUGCCGCGUGCAGGAAGAAGGCCUUCGGGUUGUAAACUGCUUUUGUACGGAGCGAAAAGGCUCCCUCUAAUACAGGGGGCUCAUGACGGUACCGUAAGAAUAAGCACCGGCUAACUACGUGCCAGCAGCCGCCGUAACAC